rnacentral:rRNA from 1 species
AGGGUGAAGGGGUUGCAAUAAACUGGUGGCUGCGACUGUUUAAUAAAAACACAGCACUCUGCAAACACGAAAGUGGACGUAUAGGGUGUGACGCCUGCCCGGUGCCGGAAGAUUAAAUGAUGGGGUGCAAGCUCUUGAUUGAAGUCCCGGUAAACGGCGGCCGUAACUAUAACGGUCCUAAGGUAGCGAAAUUCCUUGUCGGGUAAGUUCCGACCUGCACGAAUGGCGUAACGAUGGCCACACUGUCUCCUCCCGAGACUCAGCGAAGUUGAAGUGUUUGUGAUGAUGCAAUCUACCCGCGGCUAGACGGAAAGACCCCAUGAACCUUUACUGUAGCUUUGCAUUGGACUUUGAACCGAUCUGUGUAGGAUAGGUGGGAGGCUAUGAAACCGGAACGCUAGUUUCGGUGGAGCCGUCCUUGAAAUACCACCCUGGUUUGUUUGAGGUUCUAACCUUGGCCCGUGAUCCGGGUCGGGGACAGUGCAUGGUAGGCAGUUUGACUGGGGCGGUCUCCUCCCAAAGCGUAACGGAGGAGUACGAAGGUACGCUAGGUACGGUCGGAAAUCGUGCUGAUAGUGCAAUGGCAUAAGCGUGCUUAACUGCGAGACCGACAAGUCGAGCAGGUGCGAAAGCAGGUCAUAGUGAUCCGGUGGUUCUGUAUGGAAGGGCCAUCGCUCAACGGAUAAAAGGUACUCUGGGGAUAACAGGCUGAUACCGCCCAAGAGUUCAUAUCGACGGCGGUGUUUGGCACCUCGAUGUCGGCUCAUCUCAUCCUGGGGCUGUAGCCGGUCCCAAGGGUAUGGCUGUUCGCCAUUUAAAGAGGUACGUGAGCUGGGUUUAAAACGUCGUGAGACAGUUUGGUCCCUAUCUGCCGUGGGCGUUGGAUAUUUGAAGGGGGCUGCUCCUAGUACGAGAGGACCGGAGUGGACGAACCUCUGGUGUACCGGUUGUCACGCCAGUGGCAUCGCCGGGUAGCUAUGUUCGGAAGAGAUAACCGCUGAAAGCAUCUAAGCGGGAAACUCGCCUUAAGAUGAGAUAUCCCUGGGGACUAGAUCCCCUUGAAGGGUCGUUCGAGACCAGGACGUUGAUAGGUCAGGUGUGUAAGCGCAGUAAUGCGUUCAGCUAACUGAUACUAAUUGCCCGUAAGGCUUGAUCCU